GGCAAGUUGGCGGAGUGGUUAACGCGAUGCCCUGCGUAAGUCCAUUUCCUUCGGGAGCGCAGGUUCGAAUCCUGCACUUGUCG